rnacentral:rRNA from 1 species
GUAGUCCUGGCCGUAAACGCUGCCCACUUGGUGUUGCCCUUUCCUUGGGAAAGGGCAGUGCCGGAGCGAAGGUGUUAAGUGGGCUGCUUGGGGAGUAUGGUCGCAAGGCUGAAACUUAAAGGAAUUGGCGGGAGAGCACCGCAACGGGAGGAGCGUGCGGUUUAAUUGGAUUCAACGCCGGAAAACUCACCAGGGGAGACCAUGGUAUGAGUGUCAGCCUGAAGAGCUUACACGAUCACAUGGAGAGGUGGUGCAUGGCCGUCGUCAGCUCGUACCGUAGAGCGUUCACUUAAGUGUGAUAACGAGCGAGACCCUUGCCCAUAUUUGCCACCUUCCUCGAGAGAGGAAGAGCACUAUAUGGGGACCGCUAGCGUUAAGCUAGAGGAAGGAGAGGUCAACGGCAGGUCAGUAUGCCCCGAAUCCCCUGGGCAACACGCGCGCUACAAAGGACGGAACAAUGGGUUGCAACUUCGAAAGGAGGAGCUAAUCCCGAAAUCCGUCUGUAGUUCAGACUGAGGGCUGUAAUUCGCCCUCACGAAGCUGGAUUCCGUAGUAAUCGCGGAUCAACAGUCCGCGGUGAAUAUGCCCCUGCUCUUUGCACACACCGCCUGUCAAGCCAUCCGAGUUGGUUUUGGAUGAGGGCCCACUUUUUGGUGGGUUCGAAUCCAAGAUCGAUGAGGAGGGCUAAGUCAUAACAAGGUAUCCGUAGGGGAACCUGCGGCUGGAUCACCUCC